GACAGUGACGGGGAAGAGUUCAUUUAUCAACCCUAUGUGUGCUAGUCCAGAAUCAUACAAGUAUUUAACGCCACUUUAACUAUAAACUACGCUGAAGCAAUUAAUAGAUAAACAGGAAAUUAAUAAGCAACUCUAGUAUUAACCGAACAAUCAAGUCAGUUUUCAAGUAGAAAAUACUAAAUAUUCAGUGGUUCCAGCUUCUCACUUGUGACAAUUUGAUAAUAAACUGAAUAUUAUUUGGGUUUUGGACUUUUUGUCAGACAAACUAAGCAUUUGAAGACAUCACCUUGACAUUUCCCUCCACUUUCUGACAAGCGGAUUAUUAAAUAAUGACAAUAAUCAAUGGUUGCAGCCUUCAUUUUACAAGAAGGUACAAUCUUCCUCACAUUCAUACCUUCUCCAGGAAAAAAAAGGUUAGAAAUGAAGGGUUAAAGGCUGUAGACAACUCCACAAACCAUCCACUUCACUCUAUAAUGUGUUAUUUCUUCCAUUUUACUGAUAAAGAAAUGAUCCAAUACUUUUUUUGUUUUUACAAAACAGUUCUGUACAGGAUCCAAACCACAUAAUGACCAUGAAGUAAAUACAUUUUUCUUUUUCUCUUUUUAUUUUCGAGGCUUGUGUGAAUCUUGUUUUCAGUGUGGGUUUUCAGAAUCUCCACAGUAACUUUAAACGAGGUUCCCUCAGGAUCAACACGCCUUCGCUAAACCCCCUUUUCCUUCAGGUUGUGGGCCGCUUCAUAAGCCUAUUAAUAUCAGCGGCUUUACUGUGCAAUGCGUCCAUACAACAGGCCAAGAUGAGAGUGAAUCUGCUACCAUGAUGCACCCUUUAAUCAUCGGCAUUAUGACCGUAAACACCUCUCUAACCAUCGUCUAUUGGGCCUUCAUCCUGGGAGAUGCCUACCUCAAGUGGGUGCAGGAGCCAGAAGACAAACCCCAGAAGGUGGUCACCCCAGCCUGAGAGAGUCACAGUCAGUAUGGACCUAUGUGACUGUGUGACUGGGUGUUAUUUUGCUUAGAGACUAGUUUGGCUUGUAGUGCUUUUCUGUGGAGUUUGUUUUUGCAGUCAAUCUGCUUUCUGUUUCACCUGAAGACAACCCGGAGCCCCACUUCUGAACUUAGAAAGCAACUGAACUGAAUGAACCCUUCAAAUAAAUGAGAAAGGAAUCCUUCUCACAGAGCUUUUCUGUGUACAACACACCAAUUUGGAUGUCCUUUCAUGCAUAAGUCUGAGCUGUUUCAAGUCUUGAUUACAAGACUGGAUUCUUGGCCCCAAACCAGUAGAGGAUGACUCAGAGGAAGGGAGAGCAGAAAUAGAAGAAGAGCGGCGACUGAGCGUUUCCAGCAAGCUGAUGGUGAAAGACACACUGAAGAUGGAGAGGGAAAAGGACGAUCUGCUGCCCGGUUUCCACCAGGGAGAUGGAGGCUGCUGCCGUCCAUCCACACCUCUUCCUCUAAGGAGCGCCAAUGCGCUGUCAAACCCUGGAGAAAAAAGAAUAUCUACUCAUAGUGUGACCUUCGCCUGCCCCGUAACCCCUUACGCCACUUCCCUCUGAGUUUCUGCAAAUCAGUGGUUCAGAUAAAUUUCUGUCACAUAUGUUAUUUCGAUCCAGUGAUCAGUGUUGUCUUUUUGCUGUAGUGAUGCAGAAGCUAAAGCUUUUUUGUUUUCUAUAAACAGUUAUAGUUUGUACUCAUUUUACAAGACAAUGCUGUCUUUCAUUACUUACUACAGCUUAAAAAACAUAGAAAUGGUCUAUAUUGUUAAUCAUUAUAUUGAUUAUAUUGCACUGUAUUGUCAUUCACUGACCAAAUUUCUCAUUCUACAAAAUGUAAUUUAUGCACUAUGUAAACUCCAAAGAUGUUGAUGUGCGCUGUAAAAAAGCACAUUUUAUUUGGUUAACUGACAUUUAAACCUAAAACUUGCAUAACUUGAAAACACAUUUCGAUGAAAAUGUCUAAUUCAUCCAUAAAAUAUCAAGAGUGUCAUUGAAUUGCACCUGAACUUUCUGUGCUGGCAGCAAUUUCUGUGCAUUUUCCACUGUCAUAACCAUCAUUUUACCCAUUACUUCACACUGGUCUCAUUCUGUGAUGUGAUUUCAUAGGAAAAUGUACAUCGUUUUUUUCCUGUUCUGGUGUUGGACUAAGCUUCUUUCCAGUAAACAACUCAA